ensembl:lncRNA
CUGAAAUGUCCAGAAGGAAAUGGGAGGCUGCCAAAAAAUUGAUUUUUUGUUAUAGUGUCAAUAAUCACAUCAGGGGGAAUCACAUCAGAAAUGGGCAGAAAUGGACAGAAAUUUGCCUUAAAUGGACAAACUAUCAGAAAUGUCCAUAAAUGGGCAGAAAUUAACAUAAAUGGACAGUAAUUAACCUAAAUGGACAUAAAUGGACAGAAAUUAACAUAAAUGGACAUAAAUUACCAGAAAUGGACAGAAAUGGACAGAAAUGAACAGAACUGAGAUCCUGCUCUGGUCUGAGCAAUAAAACAAAUAAUUAACGAGCAGUUGGCAGUGAUUUCAUUUAAUCCCACAUUUCCCCUUCAAUCUCACAAUUAUCCAAUGAAAAAACACCCCAAAACAUCAUCCUUUUAACUGGAAACCGGAUUCCAGGUGGGAGCCCAGAAACUGCUCCGAAACUGAGAUUCCAGGAUCCAAACCAGCCUCAACUUCAGGCAAUAAUUCCCAGAUUUCUGCCUGUUUAUUUUCCUGCUGGGUGGUGUUGGCUGCUCCCUUCCAAGCCUGGAACUGCCCCGAUAAAAUCUGGGGGACAAUGAGGGUUGAGGACGGUGCUCUGCCCCCAUCUGGGAUGAUGACACCGAUGAUUUCCUCUCUGCCAAGCGGCCUCGGAGCCCAAUUUGGAAAAUUAUAGGGAAGAGCAAAGCAGCUGCAGCAGCUUCCUCUGAUUUCAUCUCCGUAUGCAAAGCAGCCGGGAAGGAUCAGAGCGGAGCCCUGGAAUUCCUGAAGCCAGAAAAUCAAUUUAUGGGCCACAACAACAACAACAACAACAUCAACAACAACAACAGCAUAAUCAGCGUGCCAGGAAAAAACAGGAUGAGGAAUGUUCCAGGUAAAAUCUCUGGAGUUGGUUUGUUUGAGGAUAUAAAAGUGCUCCUGACUGGUGGCCCUGGAGCUGCCUCUACUGACUCGUUCUCCUCGCUGACUGGGUAAGUCAGAUUUAACUGAAUCAGCUCCUAAUUAGAGGCAAUUUGGUUUAUGGGGAGCUUUGAACUGAGGUUUUAUAUCCUAUCCUAAAUCAAGGGUAGAGUUUAUUCUCCAAGCCCGUUCUUGCGUGGGAAGUGGGGCUUGGGAUUAAGGUGGUUAAAAGGGAAGAGAGGAAUGGGAGUUUUAAAAUAGCUGAUGGGAGGAAUUUUUAGGAAUUGAACAUUUAUUUAUUUAUGGAGAAGGAUCACUCCAAACCCCUGAUCAGGGUGGGAUUGAUUCCCAACAGGAAAGGGAAUGAAGUGGGAGAAGGGGUCGGAAUGAAAUGGGAAAAGGACAGGGAGGUUCCUCCCAGAAUUCAUUCUGGGAAUAGGAACAGGACAAAAUGCAGAAAAGCUUUGGGGUGACCCAAUUGUGGCCUUCCAGGACCUGAAGGAGCCAAAAGGAACAUGAGAAGAGACAAUUUCCAAGGGAUGGAGUGCAAGGAAAAGGGGGAAUGAGUUCACACUGAUGGACAGGAGGUUUGGAUGGGAUUUUAGGGAUAAAUCCUUCCCUAUGAGCGUGGGGAGGCUCUGAAAUGGAAUUCCCAGGAAAGCUGUGGCAGCCCCAUCCCUGAAACUGUCCAAGACCAGGUGGGACAGGGUUUGGGGUCCAUGGAAAGUGUCCCUGCCCAUGCCAGGGAUCAGAACUGGUCCUUCAAGGUCCAUUCCGUGAUUCCAUGGAGCAGUAGAGAGGAGUGGGAACAGAAUCAGAAACAUUUCCCCACAAUUCAUCUCCUUUGAUUGGUGCAAUUUAUGGAAAAGUGGAUUGUGCCUUAGAAAGGAUGAUUUUUAAAAAUUAUGAUUUUAAUUUUUUAACCACAAACUCAUUUAUUCAGAUUAUUUAAUCCCACACAUCUGCACCUGUCCAUCCAAACACCAUCCAGCAAAUCCCCAUUCCCAGCUCCAUUUGGAAUCCAGGAAAUUCCAAAGGGAAUAAUCCCCCAUACACCUCUAAUUUCCUGCAGGAU